rnacentral:snoRNA from 1 species
AUUUAUGUCAGCUGUGGGCAGUCUCCCUUCCUAGCCAUGGAAGAGCAUAUUCUUGUUUAUUGGCAAAGCUGUCACCAUUUAAUUGGUAUCAGAUUCUGACUUGCACAAGUAACAUUA